rnacentral:misc_RNA from 1 species
GGGCGACCUCUUCUUCUUCUGAAUCCAGUCAUGACGACGGAAUCCGGCCACGACGACGGUAAAAUGAUCGAGUCUUACUCCCGUGCGACGGUAAAAAAAGAUUGAAUCUAAGGAUUUUUAGGUUACUAAUUUUUCUUGUUUCUUUAACUGGUCAUUCCUUGUUCUUGAGUUGUUGAAUUAAUGUUUUGCUGAUAAUCGUACUCCCUUUCUUUUUAUGUUAAAGCUCGGUAAGAUGUCCAUGAUUCUUGAAUUCUUGAUUGAAGUUUCCGGUUCUUUACUUCUUGAAUUGAUGUUCCUUAAUUCGUUUUCUUCCCAUUGUUUUACUUGCUUGUUCACAUGGUUGUGGCCAGAUCAUUUCAGGUUAUGCACAUUGUAGUUUUUAGAGAAUCCUAGUCAAUUUUCUUUGGCAUGUAUCAGAAGAAUCAUCUCAUUCUAAAGUGUCUUUCUAGGAGGCACUUAGAAUGUGAAACUACUAUGUGAUGGAAGGGGGCUUGCUUUUCUUUCAUCAGCAUUGCAUUCAGCUUUACAAAUAUCUGCUAGUAUGUUUCUGCACUUCUUUUAUAUCUAUUUGUGCCUUCUGGUUGCUUUAAAUGUUCUUUCUCUAUCAGGAUCUCUUGUCAAUUGCCAAUGUGGCUGAGCAACAUGUAUGUGGGAUUUCUUAGGGCCUCUUCAAGGUAUAUAUUUCUUGAAGUUCGUUACGUCUUAUAC